UUUGAAAGUGUUUUGGUUUUAUUUACCUCUUCCCUCGCAUAAACAGGUUCAGUAAACAUGAAAUCCGUGAUAAUGCAUACUGGCGCUGGCGGAAUAAUUGGAUUUUCGAAGCGGAAUUACUGGCACGUGAACUUGACCAGUGCGACAAGUGCAUCCACUAAACCGCUACGCCAAGGAUCGUGCUGAUUUGAACCUGAAUCUGUUGGAUUUUGAUGCACUGAGAUGUGGAUUAUACGGGACGAAUACCUGCGGUGAAGCUUGGUUUUAGUUUUCCUCGCGUUGCCGUCUUCCAGCAAUCAAUUCUGGAGAUUCAAAUUGAAGGAGAAACCUCGCUCUGACCAUCAUCAUUUGCCCUUAGAAGCAAUAAGGACAGGAAUGCCAUCGCUGAUGAACAAUAGACGAAGCCCGGAGCAAGCUGAGCAGAUACAUUUCUUAACAAGCUGCAGAAUGGGUUCGACCAGUUACACCGCCUUGAAAAGCCAGUUAGCCUUCAGAAUUACAUCUCCGAUAAGAGCGGUGCGAGGAACGGUGUCUUUGCAGUCAGAAUCGGUCGAGGCAGUGGAAACUGACACGGAUCAUCCCGGAAUACACAGAUAACCGCCUUGAGGAUUAUUCUACAAUGCCUACAGAUGACUACGAUGCGCACCCUUAUCAUCGCCACGGGCUGGAUGCUGCUGAAACACUCAAAAGUGUCCACCGUGUGGCGGGAAGUGCUGCAGCUGGCAUAUUAUGCGUAACAAAAAUAAAUAAUAAAAUUAAAAGUAUGAGCUAA